rnacentral:rRNA from 1 species
AGCGAACGCUGGCGGCAGGCCUAACACAUGCAAGUCGAGCGCCCCGCAAGGGGAGCGGCAGACGGGAGAGUAACACGUGGGAACGUACCCUUUGGUUCGGAACAACCCAGGGAAACUUGGGCUAAUACCGAAUAAGCCCUUACGGGGAAAGAUUUAUCGCCGAAGGAUCGGCCCGCGUCUGAUUAGCUAGUUGGUGAGGUAACGGCUCACCAAGGCGACGAUCAGUAGCUGGUCUGAGAGGAUGAUCAGCCUCACUGGGACUGAGACACGGCCCAGACUCCUACGGGAGGCGGCAGUGGGGAAUAUUGGACAAUGGGCGCAAGCCUGAUCCAGCCAUGCCGCGUGGGUGAUGAAGGCCCUAGGGUUGUAAAGCCCUUUCGGCGGGGAAGAUAAUGACGGUACCCGCAGAAGAAGCCCCGGCUAACUUCGUGCCAGCAGCCGCCGUAA